rnacentral:rRNA from 1 species
UUGGAGGGCAAGUCUGGUGCCAGCAGCCGCGGUAAUUCCAACUCCAAUAGCGCAUAUUAAAGUUGUUGCAGUUAAAAAGCUCGUAGUUGAAUUUCGGGGUUCUACCGUUGGUCGGGCAAUAGUCUGUACUGGCGUGUGGAAUUUCUACCUUCUGGGGAACUAUCAUGUUAUUAAUUUAGCGUGGUGGGAAACCAGGACCUUUACCUUGAAAAAAUUAGAGUGUUCAAAGCAGGCUUACGUCUGAAUACAUUAGCAUGGAAUAAUAAAAUAGGACGGUGGUCCUGUUUUGUUGGUUUCUGAAUCACCGUAAUGAUUAAUAGGGAUAGUUGGGGGCAUUAGUAUUCAAUUGUCAGAGGUGAAAUUCUUGGAUUUAUUGAAGACUAACUUCUGCGAAAGCAUUUGCCAAGGAUGUUUUCAUUAAUCAAGAACGAAAGUUAGGGGAUCGAAGACGAUCAGAUACCGUCGUAGUCUUAACCAUAAACUAUGCCGACUAGGGAUCGGACGAUGUUAAUUUUUCUUGACUCGUUCGGCGCCUUACGGGAAAC